GACAGAGGGUGCAAACGUUGCUCGGAAUUACUGGGCGUAAAGCGCGUGUAGGUGGCUUGGUGUGUCAGAUGUGAAAUCCCUGGGCUCAACCCAGGAACUGCACCUGAAACUACCAGUCUUGAGUGGUGGAGAGGGAAGUGGAAUUCCUGGUGUAGAGGUGAAAUUCGUAGAUAUCAGGAGGAACACCAGUGGCGAAGGCGGCUUCCUGGACCAAUACUGACGCUCAUGUGCGAAAGCGUGGGGAGCAAACAGG
rnacentral:rRNA from 1 species